rnacentral:rRNA from 1 species
AACGAACGCUGGCGGCAUGCCUCAUACAUGCAAGUCGAACGAGGUCUUCGGACCUAGUGGCGCACGGGUGAGUAACAUGUGGGAAUCUACCUGAAGGUUCGGAAUAACUGCGGGAAACUGUAGCUAAUACCGGAUGUGUCUGAAAAGAGAAAGAUUUAUCGCCUUCAGAUGAGCCCGCACUAGAUUAGCUAGUUGGUGAGGUAAUUGCUCCACCAAGGCUACGAUCUAUAGCUGAUUUGAGAGGAUGAUCAGCCACACUGGGACUGAGACACGGCCCAGACUCCUACGGGAGGCAGCAGUAGGGAAUAUUGGACAAUGGGGGAAACCCUGAUCCAGCAAUGCCGCGUGAGUGAAGAAGGCCUUCGGGUUGUAAAGCUCUUUCAUCAAUGAUGAUAAUGACAUUAGUUGAAGAAGAAGCCCCGGCUAACUUCGUGCCAGCAGCCGCGGUAAUACGAAGGGGGCUAGCGUUGUUCGGAAUCACUGGGCGUAAAGCGUAUGUAGGCGGAUCAAAAAGUUAGAUGUGAAAUCCCUGGGCUCAACCCAGGAACUGCAUUUAAAACUAGUGAUCUAGAAUUUGGUAGGGGCCAGUAGAAUUUCCAGUGUAGAGGUGAAAUUCGUAGAUAUUGGAAAGAAUACCAGUGGCGAAGGCGACUGGCUGGGCCAUUUUUGACGCUGAGAUACGAAAGCGUGGGUAGCAAACAGGAUUAGAUACCCUGGUAGUCCACGCAGUAAACGAUGAGUGCUAGUCGCUGGGACAAUAGUUUCAGUGUCGAAGCUAACGCAUUAAGCACUCCGCCUGGGAAGUACGGUCGCAAGAUUAAAACUCAAAUAAAUUGACGGGGGCCCGCACAAGCGGUGGAGCAUGUGGUUUAAUUCGAAGCAACGCGAAGAACCUUACCAGACCUUGACAUGGUAUGUUUGAAUUACAGAAUCGUAAUUCUUCAGUUCGGCUGGCAUACACACAGGUGCUGCAUGGCUGUCGUCAGCUCGUGUCGUGAGAUGUUGGGUUAAGUCCCGCAACGAGCGCAACCCUCAUUUUUAGUUGCCAUCAGGUCAAGCUGGGCACUCUAAAAAAACUGCCGGUGAUAAGCUGGAGGAAGGCGGGGAUGACGUCAAGUCCUCAUGGCCCUUACGGUCUGGGCUACACACGUGCUACAAUGGUGGUGACAGUGGGCAGCAAUACUGCAAAGUAAAGCUAAUCCCAAAAAACCAUCUCAGUUCGGAUUGGACUCUGCAACUCGAGUCCAUGAAGUUGGAAUCGCUAGUAAUCGUAGAUCAGCGUGCUACGGUGAAUACGUUCUCGGGCCU